rnacentral:lncRNA from 1 species
UCUCUAAAUGAAAAAAUGGGUGCUGUUUUAUUCACAGCUUUCCCACUUUCAUGGAGGUCUUGCGUCACUAUCCCCUGGAGGGCAGCCAGCACAUAAAGACAGAUGAAUCUAAACAGGAAAAUGUACAAUGGAGCCCAACAAAUACAACCCUUACUCUUGUGUUUUGUCUCUUACUUUGAUUAUGAAAUGGGAAAUAAUGAAACUUUACUUACUGCUCUGAAGAAACAGCAAGAUGGCAAAACCUAGAAUAAAAUGAAGAAAAUGUAGGCAUUAAUCUUGGGGAUGAUUCUGUCAUGAUCAUCAUGAUGAAAAGCACUGAUAUAAUUAAAAUUUCUACCCUUUCUCUUACAUGAAUUCAAAAUGACUUGUAGAAUAAAACACUAAUAUAAAAUUAUAAUCCAGUAAUUAAAAUAUUAAUAUAGAAAUAUUUUGUAAAAUGUAAAAAUACAAGUUAAUUUCACACUCUGACCAACAUUAAAAUAUGUUAUAUUACAGUAAGAAGAGUCAUGAGCUAUAUAUUUUUUCAGAAAUUAUUAUAAAAUGGUGUAUCAAUGCCAUUUAAUCUUUUAUAACCCAUCUAAAACAGACAAAAUGCAAGAUAAAUGCUGAAAAUGUGAUUACUUUAGAGCUGACUUUCUUUUUGACUUGGAAUUGUCUAAAACCUAAUGUUUCCUGGUAAGGAAUUGCUCAUGAAAGAACUUCAUUACAUUUUUACUAUACAAUAGGACUACCAUAUCUGUGAGAGAUAUGUUGCUGGAAUUAUUGUAGUAGAAUCAUAGAAUCAUAGAAUAGUAGAGUUGGAAGAGACCUCAUGGGCCAUCCAGUCCAACCCCCUGCCAAGAAGCAGGAAAUCGCAUUCAAAGCACCCCAGACAGAGGGCCAUCCAGCCUCUGCUUAAAAGCCUCCAAUGAAGGAGCCUCCACCACAGCCUGGGGGAGAGAGUUUCACUGUCGAACAGCUCUCACAGUGAGGAAGUUCUUCCUGAUGUUCAGGAGAAAUCUCCUUUCCUGUAGUUUGAAGCCAUUGUUCCGCGUCCUAGUCUGCAGGGCAGCAGAAAACAAGCUUGCUCCCUCCUCCCUUUAUAUCCCGCCUUUCUCAUCCCGAAGGGGACUCAGAGCAGCUUACAAAUAAUAUUUACAGUGUAUUGUAUCAAUAGCACAGCACAACACUAGCACUAUAUACCACCAUAUUGCACCACACCACUAUACUGUAAUAUUACCAGUAAUAUUACAUGUAAUAAAUAAUAAAUAAUAAAUAUUAUUAUAUUGGAUUAUUAUUAGUAUUAUAUUGCAUUACAUUAUAAUAUUAUCAAUAUUACUUGUAUAUGCAUUAUAUUAAUUAUUUAUUAUUGUAAAUUAUAUUGUAUAAUAUACAAUAUUAUAUAUAUAUACAUAUACACACACACACACACAUACUUACACAUACAAACACACACACACAUAUAUAUAAUACUACAGUAUAUUAUUAGCAUAAGGCUGCUAAAAAUAAAUACAAUGUUCCCUCACUUAUUGCUGGGGUUAGGUUCCAGGACCACCUGCAAUAAGUGAAAAUCCGUGAAGUAGGGACACUAUAUUUAUUUUAGUAUUUAUUUAUUUAUUUUAGUAAUUAUACACCAUUUUAAGUCUUUAUCAACCAAUUGUGUGUUGAUAAAUCGCCUCCCUCUCCUCCCGUUGCCGCUUGGGCUCCUUUUCUCUCUCUUUGGCUUCUCCUUCCUCCCUUCCUUAGGCUGUAAAUUGUAAUUUUUUAUGAUUUAUAAGUCUUUUAGAGUUUAUUGAAAAACCGCGAAACAGCGAAUCCGUGAAAAGUGAACUGCGGAGUACUGAGGGAACACUGUACUCAAAAUUAUAUAAAACCAUUAAAAUAACUAAAACACCACAUAGCGCCCCCCCCCCCGACUUGUUCUUAAAAGUCUUUUUUUAAAGCGAGCAUGAAUUAAGGAUUUAGCCUGGCGCCCAAAGACUCACAGGAAAGGGACCAUGGCAAUCAAAAUGGCAUCAAACUGUAUUAAUUUUACAGUGUAGAUGCACCUCA